AUUGAACGCUGGCGGCGUGCCUAACACAUGCAAGUCGAGCGGUAACAGGUGUAGCAAUACAUGCUGACGAGCGGCGGACGGGUGAGUAACGCUUGGGAAUCUGCCUAUUAGUGGGGGACAACCCGGGGAAACUCGGGCUAAUACCGCAUACGCUCUACGGAGGAAAGCCGGGGACCGCAAGGCCUGGCGCUAAUAGAUGAGCCCAAGUCGGGUUAGCUAGUUGGUAGGGUAAUGGCCACCAAGGCGACGAUCCGUAACUGGUCUGAGAGGACGACCAGUCACACCGGAACUGAGACACGGUCCGGACUCCUACGGGAGGCAGCAGUGGGGAAUAUUGGACAAUGGGCGAAAGCCUGAUCCAGCGACGCCGCGUGGGUGAAGAAGGCCUGCGGGUUGUAAAG
rnacentral:rRNA from 1 species